rnacentral:rRNA from 1 species
UACGGAGGGUGCAAGCGUUAUCCGGAUUCACUGGGUUUAAAGGGUGCGUAGGUGGCAAGUAAGUCAGUGGUGAAAUCUCCGGGCUUAACCCGGAAACUGCCAUUGAUACUAUUUGUCUUGAAUACUGUGGAGGUCAGCGGAAUAUGUCAUGUAGCGGUGAAAUGCUUAGAUAUGACAUAGAACACCAAUUGCGAAGGCAGCUGGCUACACAAAUAUUGACACUGAGGCACGAAAGCGUGGGGAUCAAACAGG